GUCUGGUGCCAGCAGCCGCGGUAAUUCCAGCUCCAAUAGCGUAUAUUAAAAUUGUUGCAGUUAAAAAGCUCGUAGUUGAAUUUCUGCUGCAUUGCUUAUUCCCUUUAGGGUUUUAGCAUGUGGCUUAUUUCGGACGGUUCGCUGUCUGGAUGUUUACUUUGAGAAAAUUAGAGUGCUCAAAGCAGGCUUUUGCCUUGAAUAGUUUAGCAUGGAAUAAUAAAGUAGGACUUUGGUUCUAUUUUGUUGGUUUUAGGUACCAAAGUAAUGGUUAAUAGGAACAGUUGGGGGCAUUCGUAUUUAACUGUCAGAGGUGAAAUUCUUAGAUUUGUUAAAGACGAACUACUGCGAAAGCAUUUGCCAAGGAUGUUUUCAUUAAUCAAGAACGAAAGUUAGGGGAUCGAAGACGAUCAGAUACCGUCGUAGUCCUAACCAUAAACAAUGCCGACUAGAGAUUGGAGGUCGUCAGUUUUUACGACUCCUUCAGCACC
rnacentral:rRNA from 1 species